rnacentral:rRNA from 1 species
GACGAACGCUGGCGGCGUGCCUAACACAUGCAAGUCGAACGGAGUGUUUAUUUAUAAACACUUAGUGGCGAACGGGUGAGUAGCGCGUAGACAACCUACCCUCUAGAUGGGGACAACACCGCGAAAGUAGUGCUAAUACCGAAUGUUGUAAUGUUAUUGCAUAAUGAUAUUACUAAAGGUGGCCUCUAUAUAAAAGCUACCGCUAGAAGAUGGGUCUGCGUCUGAUUAGCUAGUUGGUGAGAUAACAGCUCACCAAGGCAAUGAGCAGUAGCCGGUCUGAGAGGAUGGACGGCCACACUGGGACUGCGACACGGCCCAGACUCCUACGGGAGGCAGCAGUGGGGAAUCUUCCGCAAUGGACGAAAGUCUGACGGAGCAACGCCGCGUGAGUGAAGAAGGUUUUCGGAUCGUAAAGCUCUGUCUUCAAGGACGAAUGUAGAUAUUGUGAAUAAUGAUAUUUAAUGACGGUACUUGAGGAGGAAGCCACGGCUAACUACGUGCCAGCAGCCGCGGUAA